rnacentral:misc_RNA from 1 species
GAACUGCGAUAAGUAAUGUGAAUUGCAGAAUUCAGUGAAUCAUCGAGUCUUUGAACGCACAUUGCGCCCCCUGGCACUCCGGGGGGCAUGCCUGUCCGAGCGUCAUUGCUGCCAUUCAAGCCCGGCUUGUGUGUUGGGCCGUCGUCCCCCUCCCGGGGGGACGGGCCCGAAAGGCAGCGGCGGCACCGUGUCCGGUCCUCGAGCGUAUGGGGCAUCGUCACCCGCUCGAUCAGGACCGGCCCGGCGCCCGCCGACACCAUCAAUCUUUUUUCCAGGUUGACCUCGGAUCAGGUAGGGAUACCCGCUGAACUUAA